rnacentral:rRNA from 1 species
CGUAAGAAUCUGCCCCUCGGACGGGGAUAACUCUUGGAAACGAGAGCUAAUACCCGAUAAGCUGUGGAGUGAAAGGAAUCCGCCGAGGGAUGAACUUGCGUCUGAUUAGCUAGUUGGUGUGGUAAUGGCAUACCAAGGCGACGAUCAGUAGCUGGUCUGAGAGGAUGGACAGCCACAUUGGAACUGAGACACGGUCCAAACUCCUACGGGAGGCGGCAGUGGGGAAUUUUCCGCAAUGGACGCAAGUCUGACGGAGCGACGCUGCGUGAAGGAUGACGGCCCGAGGGUUGUAAACUUCUUUUCUCGAAGAAGAAGCUCUGACGGUAUUCGAGGAAUAAGCAUCGGCUAACUCCGUGCCAGCAGCCGCGGUAAUACGGGAGUGGCAAGCGUUGUCCGGAAUUAUUGGGCGUAAAGCGUCCGCAGGCGGUCUUGUAAGUCUGUCGUUAAUGCGUGGAGCUUAACUCCAUUUCAGCGAUGGAAACUGCAAGACUAGAGUGUGGUAGGGGCA